GACGAACGCUGGCGGCGUGCCUAACACAUGCAAGUCGAACGAAGCAUUUAAGUGAAUCCCUUCGGGGUGAAGCUUUUAUGACUUAGUGGCGGACGGGUGAGUAACGCGUGAGUAACCUGCCUUUCAGAGGGGGAUAACAGUUGGAAACGACUGCUAAUACCGCAUAACGUAUUUUUAGGGCAUCCUUUAAAUACCAAAGAUUUAUUGCUGAAAGAUGGUCUCGCGUCUGAUUAGCUAGAUGGCGGGGUAACGGCCCACCAUGGCGACGAUCAGUAGCCGGUCUGAGAGGAUGAACGGCCACAUUGGGACUGAGAUACGGCCCAGACUCCUACGGGAGGCAGCAGUGGGGAAUAUUGGGCAAUGGGGGAAACCCUGACCCAGCAACGCCGCGUGAAGGAAGAAGGCCUUCGGGUUGUAAACUUCUUUAGUUAGGGACGAAGAACGUGACGGUAC
rnacentral:rRNA from 1 species